CGGUAACCUUGAUAUAUAUGUAUACUUGUAUUAAAAUGAAACUAUGUCGCACGGUUUGUACAUAUUAGCUGAAACACGAUUUUUGGGUAGAGCCUGUGACAUUCUGACCUUAGGAUUAUUAUAGAAAUAAUCCAUAGGGAAAGUAGAAUUACGUGUACUUACCAUGGUAAAUAUAUUAUAAACGGAGUAAAAGUGACACGGGAUCUGCCUGGAGACAAUACUGAACUGACGCACACACAAUCAAGAUAUACGAUAUCAACGCGUUAUCGUGAUCGAUGCGAUAUCUGCGAAAAUCUGGUGGGGCUACAACACAGUAGAGAAGGCAAAACUCAAUGUCACCGAUUAUUUUUUCGCGAAACACAGCUAACGAGCCAUAAUUGUUCACGAAAAGCAUGUUCAAAACGAAGAAUGAAUUUCUCGUGGUAAAAAUCGGACGGCGUCAUGGUGAAAACAUGGAAGAGAUAGCAGGAUAAUAACACAGUUGAAACUUUCAAUUACAAGAUGGAUUGUUUCACUAAGCCACGGACUUCUCUCAACGCCGACGCAAAACUCUAUCGUUGCUCGAUAGAGAAAAG
rnacentral:misc_RNA from 1 species